GUGUCGAGUAUUUAAACAGAGCUAACAGUAGAGCGAUUCUUCCCUGCAAAUAGAGGACAUGAAGUGCUAUGGACCAUUGGGAUAAUCAAGAUUUGGACUACAGCCCAGUUUAGGAUUAUAUAAUGGAGAAACUAGAAAUGGUCAUAUAAAAAAGAAAAGAAAAUGAAAGACAGUUAGGAGAGUCUCCCUGCAGCACACUUUAAAAUCAUCAAGUCUCACGGACAUUACAAGCCUCCGACCACAUUGUGAUUAGCUUCAAAAGAGACACAGAUGUUGCUUUCUGAGUACUGCUGAGGAGUACAGUGGAAACAAACUUCAA